rnacentral:rRNA from 1 species
AGACGGAGGGUGCUAGCGUUGUUCGGAAUCAUUGGGCGUAAAGGGCGUGUAGGCGGCUCGUUAAGUCAUGCGUGAAAGCCCUCGGCUUAACCGAGGAAGUGCGUAUGAUACUGGCGAGCUAGAGUUCGGAAGAGGGGGGUGGAAUUCCAGGUGUAGCGGUGAAAUGCGUAGAUAUCUGGAGGAACACCGGUGGCGAAGGCGACCCCCUGGUCCGACACUGACGCUGAGACGCGAAAGCGUGGGUAGCAAACAGGAUUAGAAACCCCAGUAGUCC